rnacentral:rRNA from 1 species
CCUACGGGAGGCAGCAGUAGGGAAUUUUACGCAAUGGGCGAAAGCCUGACGCAGCAACGCCGCGUGAACGAGACGCCCUUUGGGGUGUAAAGUUCUUUUAGUGGGGACGAAAAAUGACGGUAUCCAAAGAGUAAGCACCGGCUAACUCCGUGCCAGCAGCCGCGGUAAUACGGAGGGUGCAAGCGUUGUCCGGAAUCAUUGGGCGUAAAGAGCUCGUAGGCGGGAUGGAAAGUCAGGUGUUAAAGGCGCAGGCUCAACCUUUGUAUGGCACUUGAUACUGGCAAUCUGGAAUGCGGUAGAGGUAAAGGGAAUUCCUGGUGUAGCGGUGAAAGGCGUAGAGAUCAGGAGGAACAUCGGUGGCGUAGGCGAUUUACUGGACCGUAAUUGACGCUGAGGAACGAAAGCCAGGGUAGCAAAUGGGAUUAGAUACCCGAGUAGUC